UAGGGAAUCUUCGGCAAUGGACGAAAGUCUGACCGAGCAACGCCGCGUGAGUGAAGAAGGUUUUCGGAUCGUAAAACUCUGUUGUUAGAGAAGAACAAGGACGUUAGUAACUGAACGUCCCCUGACGGUAUCUAACCAGAAAGCCACGGCUAACUACGUGCCAGCAGCCGCGGUAAUACGUAGGUGGCAAGCGUUGUCCGGAUUUAUUGGGCGUAAAGCGAGCGCAGGCGGUUUCUUAAGUCUGAUGUGAAAGCCCCCGGCUCAACCGGGGAGGGUCGUUGGAAACGGGGAGGCUUGAGUGCAGAAGAGGAGAGUGGAAUUCCAUGUGUAGCGGUGAAAUGCGUAGAUAUAUGGAGGAACACCAGUGGCGAAGGCGGCUCUCUGGUCUGUAACUGACGCUGAGGCUCGAAAGCGUGGGGAGCAAACAGG
rnacentral:rRNA from 1 species